rnacentral:rRNA from 1 species
GACGAACGCUGGCGGCGUGCUUUAGGCAUGCAAGUCGAACGCGAAAGCCCCUUCGGGGGUGAGUAGAGUGGCGAACGGGUGAGUAACACGUGGGUAACCUGCCCCUCGCAGGGGGAUAACCGGGGGAAACCCCGGCUAAUACCCCGUACGCUUGCUGGGGCGCAUGCUCCGGCAAGGAAAGGUAGCUUCGGCCAUCCGGCGAGGGAGGGGCCCGCGGCCCAUUAGCUAGUUGGUGGGGUAACGGCCCACCAAGGCGACGAUGGGUAGCUGGCCUGAGAGGGUGGUCAGCCACACUGGGACUGAGACACGGCCCAGACUCCUACGGGAGGCAGCAGCCAGGAAUCUUGCGCAAUGGGCGAAAGCCUGACGCAGCAACGCCGCGUGGGCGAUGAAGGCCUUCGGGUCGUAAAGCCCUGUUGUCGGGGACGAAGGGCGAAGGGUUAAUAGCCCCUAGCCUGACGGUACCCGACGAGGAAGCCCCGGCUAACUACGUG